rnacentral:rRNA from 1 species
UUGAUCCUGGCUCAGGAUGUACGCUAGCGGCAGGCUUAACACAUGCAAGUCGAGGGGUAUAGUUCUUCGGAACUAGAGACCGGCGCACGGGUGCGUAACGCGUAUGCAAUCUACCUUUCACAGAGGGAUAGCCCAGAGAAAUUUGGAUUAAUACCUCAUAGUAUUAUAGAGUGGCAUCACUUUAUAAUUAAAGUCACAACGGUGAAAGAUGAGCAUGCGUCCCAUUAGCUAGUUGGUAAGGUAACGGCUUACCAAGGCAACGAUGGGUAGGGGUCCUGAGAGGGAGAUCCCCCACACUGGUACUGAGACACGGACCAGACUCCUACGGGAGGCAGCAGUGAGGAAUAUUGGACAAUGGGCGCAAGCCUGAUCCAGCCAUGCCGCGUGCAGGAUGACGGUCCUAUGGAUUGUAAACUGCUUUUGUACAGGAAGAAACACUGGUUCGUGAACCAGCUUGACGGUACUGUAAGAAUAAGGAUCGGCUA